UGAUGUACCAACAGAUGCUGAGCAAGACGCAAUAAUCGUGAGUGAUGCUGAAGAGAAACAAGAGGGAGUGGAGAACCCGACGUCUUCAAAAGUUACAGAAACAAGGACUGGUGGAAGACAAGUCUCAAAGAGGAAAGAGCGAAAAGAAAAGGCGAAGGACAAGUUAAAAGAUGCGCUUACUCCAGUUGAGGAGCUUCCCGCGAAAAGAGUCCGCAGAAAGACCGCUAUAAGGGACUGAAGAUACUGAAAAAGAGUGGAGGGAGAAUUACUGGAGAAAGAAAAAGUGAAAAUGCUGCAUGACUCAAAGGAUUAAGCAGCAUUUCUAAUCCAUGAAUCUUUGCACCCGUUGGAAACGACCAGCACCGUACCUUGUUACGUCAACUCAACGACGCAUUCCGGCACCCCUUAAGAAAUGAAGCUUAGUUCGUCACGAGAUGUCAAAACUUGUAAAAACAAAGAUUUGAGGAAAAGGGAAAACGAUUUUCGAGUGUGUGCAAAUAUUUAUAGAGU